AUGGCCAAGUCUGGGUACACGCGCCCGCCGCCCGUCGCCGAGGACGCCGCCGCGCUUCCCGCUCCCAUCGCCGUCCUGUACGUGGCCAACUGCGGGCCGGCGGUGGGGCUGACCCACGACGACGUCGCCGCGGCCUUCGGCGCCUUCGGGGAGGUGCAGGGGGUCAGCGCCGCCGACGACAGCGGCGCGCGCGUCAUCGUCCGGUUCCGCGAGCCCGCCGCCGCGGGGGCCGCGAUGGCCGCGCUCCACGGGCGCCCCUGCGGCCGCCUCUCCGGGCGCGUGCUGCACAUACGCUACUCGGUGCCCGCCCCGCCCAAGGCCCCCGUCGCCGUCUCCGCUCCCCCGGUGGCCCUCUCGUCCUCGGAGCUCGGCAUCCCGGGAAUUCACCUGGUCCAGGAGUUCGUCAGUGCCGCCGAGGAACAGGAGCUUCUUGCAGCUGUGGAUAGUAGGCCGUGGAAAAGGUUGGCGAAAAGGCGAGUUCAGCACUAUGGUUACGAGUUUCUGUAUGAAACUAGGAAUGUUGAUUCGAAGCAGUUCUUGGGUGAAUUGCCAUCUUUUGUUUCGAAAAUCCUUGAGAAAAUUGUGACGUUCCCUGGCGUGAAGAAUUGUACUGGCAAACUGGUGGAUCAAUUGACAGUAAACGAAUAUCCUUGUGGUGUAGGUUUGUCUCCACACAUAGACACACACUCAGCAUUCGAAGAAAUGAUUUUCAGUCUUUCCUUGGCUGGACCUUGCAUUAUGGAGUUCAGGCAAUACCCCAAAGGCAGUUGGCGUGCUCCAAGUGUGGUCAGUGGAACUGAUGAAGGUAGUAUCCAGGAUCCACAAUGCAUACGGAAAGCUGUAUUUCUACCUCCUCGGUCAAUGUUACUCAUGUCUGGAGAAGGUCGAUAUGCUUGGCAUCACUAUAUACCACACCAUAAGAUUGAUGAUGUGGCUGGUCAAGUCAUUAAAAGAAAUUCGCGGCGGGUUUCCUUCACUUUACGAAAGGUGAGGAUGGGUCUUUGCGAAUGUGAAUAUGGCCAAUUUUGUGAUUCACAGAGCAAGUAA
rnacentral:rRNA from 1 species